CGCAUUUCAUCUUUCAAUUUACCUUUCUUUGCAAACCCUAACCAAACCUCUGCAUCAUCAUCUUCUUCAGACAAAUCAAUCCUAUUAAUCCAAUCAAAGGAUGUUUCUUUGUUUAUAAUUUUAUUGUUUUUGAUUCUAAUCACGUUAAUCAUUUUUUUUCUUUUUCUUCUCAUAAACCCUACAGACUGGUUCAAUUAAUUUGUCUUUUAGGUUUUUUUUGUUUGUUGAACCCGGGCUAAUCAUCCUUACUCCCAGUUACAAGUCUUCAAGGAUGUGGGUUUUGGCAGUGUUAGGAGCCAUAUUACGUAAUCUUGCAAGAGUUCAGGACCGACAAGGGAGCUACCUAUCAAUUAUGAUCAACAUGCUCUUCCUGUAGAAGUUUUAAAAAUAGUUUACACAUUAAAAGAUGAGGGACCAGGAGUUGUAAGUAUGGAUAUUGUGGAUGUUAAUUGUCCAAGAUGGAAGCUCAGGUAUUGUGGGUUUUAUUUCUGUACAUGGGUGUUGAUAUCAUGUUUAUGUAUAUAUGUAUAGGGUGUUCUUUUUAUCCGAAACCCGAACCCGACCCGAUGCCACCCGACCCGAAAAAAUAUGAUAUCCAAAUUACCCGAACCCGAUUGACAUUAUUUGGUUCAGUGAAUGGAUAUGAUUUUGCUGUAUCGGGCUCAAGAAAACAAAGACUUAUCAAAGAAUUAUGCACACGAAUAUAAAGCGUCAUUGAUGGUGUUUUGAAGACCAAGGCGCCGCCUCCGGCGAUGGCGUUAGAUUUACGGUGACACUCCAGCCGACUUUUGGUUAGUCCCCUCUUCACUUGCAUGUUCCAUUUGUUGUUAGAUCAGUCUGUGUCGUGAUGAUUGUAACUGUUUCCGGUCGUUAUAGUUUUCCGACAACGGCUCAAUUAAAUAUUUACUAAACUUUUAUGUGUUUAGAUAGUGUUGGUUAUUAAUAUGAGUUGAUAAGGCACGGUCUGUGUUGGCAUUCAUUGCCUCAAACUUGCAACAAGUAUUGGAGAAAAUCAGCUCUCCAACAGGUAUAGUGUUUGGUUUAGCACCACGUAUAUUUACUAAAGUUUUAUGUGAGUUGAUAUGUUUGAAGUUGUAAGAAAAUUGUUACUAUGAACCAGACCUACCCAAGACAUGUAGCAUUUCAUAAUAUUUUAUUUAUUUAACAUUAUAUCUACUUCUAAAGGUAGCAUCUUUAGAUCACCUUCAAGAUAUCAUCCACCUGUCCUAUGAAGCAUACAGGUCAAAUGCAAAACAAAGCUAAAAAACACUUUAUAAACCAGUGAUUUUCUUUUUUCCUUUUGGUCAUACGUAAUUCAACUUAUAAUUAAGUAAUUGUGCUAUAUUUGAUUAAUCAUUCCAACAUUGAUUUAAGUAGAACCCUAAAAUGUGUCAAACAUGGAACAUGCCUACAUUGGGCUGAACAAAGCAGUGGGUAUAAAGUAUGUAUGUUUUACAAUCUGCAACAUGUUUUUCUCUUUGUAUAUUACUUCAAAGUAACUUAACUAACAUUCUACCUUUUAUUAUGCAGAGUAUUAGUUGUCACACCUUUUGUCAUCCUUGGAAAUACCUUCGUUGUUGCACUUAGCAAUCACGAGGUAUACCUCAUUUGUUCUUUUUUCCAUUUUAGAUUAGGUUCAAUUUUAGAGUAAAUUGUUUUUGGAAAUUUUUUAGAGUUGUAUAUUCCAAGUGGCAUCUCACGAGACAUUUAAGAGUUAAUUUUGAAUAUAGAUUAUAAAAUAAUCAUUAUUUCUAACUUUAAAAUAAUAUAUUAUAAAAUAAAAUUCACAUAAGCAUUCUUAGAAUAUGUAGCAGCUGUACAUAUAGAAAUUUAUAGGUGCUACAAUUAUAAUAUCAUGUAUAUUUAGAGGGUUACGCCCCGCUUGCGGUAUGCUCAUAUAAUGUAUAUGUGUCGGCGCUCGGGGGUAAAAGUGAAAGUGUUCUAAUUUUAACGUCAUUUUACUAAUUUCGUGAAAAUAACGUUAAAAGAGAGGAUGGUUAAUCAUGCAUCAUGUGGUGGCAUUGAUAGCCGAAAGACAAGAGGUACAUGCACUAACCAACGUUUGUCUCAAUUGCUGAGUGUUAUGUACCUUAUUUCCAAGGCUUGAUACAAAACUACUAUCGAGCCAGGCGUCUCACUGGAAGCAACCUCUCUAUUUCUACGGGGUAGAGGUAAGGUUGUCUACAUCUUACCCUCCUCAGACCCUACCUUAGCUUUGCUAUUGGUAUGAUCAUGAUCAACAAGAGUCAAUCAAACAAUGGCCUGAUUUCUGAAUCUGAACUUAAACAUGGGUUAAUGUUGAUCUUAAUGAGAUGUAUUAAUUGCUACCUUUAUGUCAUGGUGCGUCAUGAUAACCCGAAGUGCCCUAACUGCCAUAAGAGUGAUUGUCUGCUUGAUGUGCUCCCUAAGGGUCAACUGAAGCCUCAAUAAAAUACAGAAUUGUCAGAGAAGCAUAAACUCAACAAGUUUGAAAUGUUCUCUAUGAAAGGAAUAAAAAACAACCAUCAUGUCAUCACUAAACCAAGUCUCAAGAGUGUGUAUAUGCCUGGUAGCAACAAAAAGAAAGAAACAGGUAAACAAGGUGAUUCAUCAUCAUCCCAACAUGAAUUGAACCAUGUUUUGACUCCUAAAUCUGAACUUGAGCACGGGCCAGAGUUCGUCUUAAUGAGAUGUAUCAGUUGCAUCUUUUAUGUCAUGGUUCGUGAGGGUAUCCCAAAGUGCCCUAACUGUCAUAGGAGUGUUGUUUUGCUUGCUGCGCUCCCUAGGGAUAUACCGAUACCUCAAGAAAAUAAAGACUCAUCAAAGAAGCGUAAACUCAACAAGUUUGAAAUGGUCUCAUUGAACCGCCAUGUCAUCAAUGAACAAAGUCUCAAGAGGGUGUAUGUGGCUGGUAACAACAAAAAGAAAGCAACAGACAAACAAGGUGAUUCCCAACAUGAAUUGAACCAUUUUCUGACCUCUAAAGCUGAACUUGAGCACGAGCUAGAGUUUAUUUUAAUGAGAUGUAUCAAUUGCAUCUUUUAUGUCAUGGUUCGUGAGGGUAACCCUAAGUGCCCUAACUGUCACAAGAGUGAUGUUCUGCUUGAUGCACUCCAUGGGGAUCUACUGAAGCCUCAAGAAAAUAAGGACUCAUCAAAAAAGUGUAACAUCAACAAGGUUUUAGUUUUGCUAUUCAUGUGGGAUCAAAAGACAGUGACAUGGAUAAAUGGUUGUCGUGUGAAGGUGAAGAAGACGUAUUAUUGUAGUCGUGCAUAGUGUUUUGCAGGAUAAUGGUGGAAGUCAUACAUCUUUUAGCCAAUGGUUAGGGUGGGUUGAUCGUUGCUAUAUACCCAGGUGGUCGGAUUCCUCAGAUUGUCUUAAAUGUUGCUGGUUUUUGCUGUCUCAUUUGGAUUGUUGACGAACGGAGGUCUGAGGAACGGUCGGAAUGUGGGAGAUUGGUUCUGCAUUGUUGGUUGUUUAUCGAUCAUAGAACGAAGGGAUGAAGGAGGGUGCCUUAGAGGUUUUAUGUCUUCUUAUCAAGCUCUGUUACUAAAUUUUAUAAAGGGUAGAAGUGGCUAGAGGAUCAUGGAUAUGAAAAUAUGCAGGAGGUCAUGGUAGUGAUGUGUCUGACGAUGGUUCGAUCAUGUGCUUCAUUAACAAUUUAGGGGAUUUCCAAGGAUGUUCAGAUACUACAGUGAUCGACAAGCUACUGCGCAAUCAGCUAGAGUUUCGCUGGUCUUCCAACGAGCCGAUUAUGGCAGUAAUUAGUUAUGGCGGACAAGGGGGUGGUGAGACGAUUAACAGCACCGACAGGUUCCAAGUCAGGUCCACACGGGUCAGAAGAUUUCAUGAAGCCAAAGAGCUAUAGAUGAAACUAUUUUUUAUAUGCAAUAAUGAUAAUUGUUAUAUGGCAUCACAACCGAUAUUUGUAUUAAUUCCCAUUUUCUGUUUCACUUAUGAUACGCAUAGUUCUUUUGUUUGUUAGUUUUUUUUAUAUCGAAUGUGAGAUCCAGUUGCAGCAUCGAAUGUAUAAGCUCUUAUUUUUGGGCCUUUGAAGGUACUUUAUUAGGUUUAUGAAUAAUUGGGGUUUUUAAA